rnacentral:rRNA from 1 species
UACAGAGGGUGCAAGCGUUGUUCGGAAUCAUUGGGCGUAAAGCGCGCGUAGGUGGUUCGUUAAGUUGGAUGUGAAAUCCCCGGGCUCAACCUGGGAACUGCAUUCAAAAACUGUCGAGCUAGAGUAUGGUAGAGGGUGGUGGAAUUUCCUGUGUAGCGGUGAAAUGCGUAGAUAUAGGAAGGAACACCAGUGGCGAAGGCGACCACCUGGACUGAUACUGACACUGAGGUGCGAAAGCGUGGGGGAGCAAACAGG